GAUGGCGUCUUGUGACUUUUAGCACAUGUCAAUUUUCUCCGGUAAUUUUUGCAAAAAUUGUGUUUUGUGGGCUGGAUUGCAAUUUAUGCCCUUUAAUUAGAAUAGCAAACUUUUCAAUAUAUUCGUCCCAUUGUAAUCAGUAGUAGUGACUUCACCUGGUGCUUACGUAUAAAUUCCAGUGACGUAAACAACUGUUCGUGCUUUUCUAGCUCUAGAGGCUUGCUGGAGAGGAAUUUGGACAAAAAUUCAGCAAAAUUUGCAUUAAAGACUGGGAAAUGAUUAGGUUCACAGUAACAUUAGAUUUUUCUCCUGAGCCUACACCUGAAGACCCAUUCAUUUUUAACUUUGAGAUAACCAAUACAAUAAGUUCUCUGUUUUAUGAAUUAUCAGAAAAAUAUGAACUACCUUCAGAUUUUGAAAUUACUCUCAAAGUUAAUGGUGAA